rnacentral:lncRNA from 1 species
AAUGUAAAAUAGUAUUUUUGAUAAAAUUAUGUUGUACAUGGCAUGACUUAAUAGACAUUACGAUAUAGAAAAACACGUAUUUCGAAUUUAGGUCCGCCAAUAGACCCAUUUUUUAGUGGAAAUAAAACAUUUCUCUACCGACCGUCCCUAGCGCAAGUGGCAAAGAGCUUGGUGGUUGGUACCCGAGGUCUCAAAUUCGAAUUCUAGUUGAUUAACAUUUCCAGUUAAGUUUAUUUCUAAAUGAAAUAAAUAAAGCGGGUAACAUGCUACCUAUCUUUUAAAAAAAUAUAUAUAAACAUUUCUCUUUCUCACGGAAUAAUA